rnacentral:rRNA from 1 species
UACAGAGGUCUCAAGCGUUGUUCGGAUUCAUUGGGCGUAAAGGGCGCGUAGGCGGCGGGGUAAGUCUGGUGUGAAAUCUCGGAGCUCAACUCCGAAAUUGCACUGGAUACUGCUCUGCUAGAGGGCUGGAGAGGAGAUCGGAAUUCACGGUGUAGCAGUGAAAUGCGUAGAUAUCGUGAGGAAGACCAGUGGCGAAGGCGGAUCUCUGGACAGCUCCUGACGCUGAGGCGCGAAGGCUAGGAGAGCAAACGGG